UAAGGAAUAUUGGUCAAUGGACGAAAGUCUGAACCAGCCAUGCCGCGUGAAGGAUGAAGGUCCUCUGGAUUGUAAACUUCUUUUUAUCUGGGACGAAAAAAGGGAAUUCUUUCUCACUUGACGGUACCAGAAGAAUAAGCACCGGCUAACUCCGUGCCACCAGCCGCGGUAAUACGGAGGGUGCAAGCGUUAUCCGGAUUCACUGGGUUUAAAGGGGUGCGUAGGUGGGGCAGUUAAGUCAGUGGUGAAAUCUCCGGGCUUAACCCGGAAACUGCCAUUGAUACUAUCUGUCUUGAAUACUCUGGAGGUAAGCGGAAUAUGUCAUGUAGCGGUGAAAUGCUUAGAUAUGACAUAGAACACCGAUUGCGAAGGCAGCUUACUACGGAGUCAUUGACACUGAGG
rnacentral:rRNA from 1 species